AAGUGGUCUAGUGGUUAGGAUUCUGUGCUCUCACUAUAGCAGCCAGGGUUCAUUUCCCUGCUU
rnacentral:tRNA from 1 species